rnacentral:rRNA from 1 species
AACGAACGCUGGCGGCAGGCUUAACACAUGCAAGUCGAACGGGUGUAGCAAUACAUCAGUGGCAGACGGGUGAGUAACACGUGGGAACCUUCCUAGGGGUACGGAACAACUCAGGGAAACUUGAGCCAAUACCGUAUACGUCCGUGAGGAGAAAGAUUUAUCGCCCUUAGACGGGCCCGCGUCGGAUUAGGUAGUUGGUGGGGUAACGGCCUACCAAGCCUACGAUCCGUAGCUGAUCUUAGAGGAUGAUCAGCCACACUGGGACUGAGACACGGCCCAGACUCCUACGGGAGGCAGCAGUGGGGAAUCUUGGACAAUGGGCGCAAGCCUGAUCCAGCCAUGCCGCGUGAGUGAAGAAGGCCUUAGGGUUGUAAAGCUCUUUUACCAGGGACGAUAAUGACGGUACCUGGAGAAUAAGCCCCGGCAAACUUCGUGCCAGCCGCCGCAGUAACAC